UACGUGUUGUUGAUAAAGAGACUCACCCCACCCUUCACAUCCACUACCAUCACCACCACCACCACCACCUCACAGUCAUCCACCUUAAUCUGAGAUAAUCUAAGCCUCUGGACUCACGUGAACAGGCGGUAGCAGCAGAGAGCAGUGAUAGGAAUAGCCACACGCUAACUUGGCUAGCGAAGCUCCAGCACAGCGGGAGCCAUGGACCUUUGGUGGUGAAGCUCGCCGACAGCCUGGAUCGCCGGCGGGGGAGGACCGAAGACCAUGUGCACCACUAUGAUGGUCCUCACCACCGUGGCCCUACUUGUACGACGGCACUUCAACAACAAAGUCAGGCCGCAAUCCGGUGACCCCGGCGAAGAAGACCCAGAACACAUGCCAAGCAGCCAGGCGUCAACUGCCCAGAAAUGACCGUGCCUCAUGCAUCGCUGGGGGCAACAGCAAACGGAAGAUGUGGGUGCAGGAUGUGCAGAGUCUCCUAAAUUCAAUGGCUCAACAGCUGAGUGCUUCUCUGGAGAGGUACCCAAGACCCGAGCACACUUCCGCCUCCGCUCACCGCCGAUAUCUGCCCUCUCUCAGAGCAGAUUGCGACUGCCUCCCAUAUCAACAGCAUCACCAGCCCCACAUCGCCACGGCUAAUCCACUACCCCGAGUCUCCUAAUUGGCUCCGAGAUGCUUCAGGAACGGACACUAAAACAGGAUCUGACACGGGAGCCAACUCCAAUACAAAACACCAAUUUGUAUCUAUUGAAGGUUAUCAAGUAAGCCUUAGAGCCCACAGACUAGAGAGUUGUUCUUCCCAGCCUCAUCGCUGGUGGCAGCUGUUUGUAAAAGUAUGGAGACAAAAAAAAAAACUAUGGAAAUAAUGAUGUGUCUUAUGACAAAGGGAAAGCUUGCAAGGUGUCUUUUGGCCAGAUAGAUAGUGUUGUGUUUUUUAACUGGUCAUGUUUAAUAUUUAGAGGAACUAUCAUGGGGUAGUUUAGCUGUAUGUCAGAAUCACGUACAAUAACGUGUAGUCAAUAAGGGCGAUGAGAAUGUGUCUUGUAAAGGGCAGAAUUUGUCCAAAUAUAUUUCUGGGGAUGGGUUUACAAAC
ensembl:lncRNA